AAGAAAAGUCGCCCCCGCUUUCCAAUUGGUAUAAGCCCAGCGGUCAGAGGGUUUAAGGCAUGGUAGUUUUGUAGGAAUUUAGCAUGGAUAAGCUUUAGCGCUCCAGUGAGUACAAACAACAAGACAAACGUGUAACGUCCGGAGGAAUUGGGGCAAGAACCCAUAUAAGUGUUUCUGUACCGUUACGGGAUCCGGCAUCAAGGCUAUCACGACGUCUAGGAUAAUCCACCACACCAGUCAUGAGGGGUUCAAAUAGCAACCAAAGUUGGCUGGCAUGUACGCUAGAUCACCGGGACAAAGGCGAAUGCCAGCAGUCGCGGUUAAAUUCACACGGGGACUUACGGGUUGAAAGGGGACCAGGACGGAAUUUUAUGCCUGACUGGAAACUGGGGAUGCUCGCAUGCCAGGUUAGAUUCAAUUCGACGGCAGAAGAGACAUUUAGACGCAGAAGAAAGCAAAGUUUCGGCAGUGUCAUGUUCAAUAAGGGGUGCAAUCCGUAGUUGAAUAAAGAGGGCCUUUAGACUCUGAUGGUUGAAGCUGUGAAAAUUGGAGAGUUAACCGGGAUUAGAGACCCCGCUAAUCCCAAUCGUGAAUUAUGCAUACUUCUCCAAUGGUAGGGGUCUCCUAAGAACCUUGACAUAUGAGAUAUUAAAGAUUGCAAGCUACCGUAUAAUUACGGGUACUACCAGGCCUGAAAGUUGAAGGGGUAGACGGCUUUCUGAAGUUAUAAUGGGGAGCUUGAUCUUUAAUCCGAUGACCCCCGUUUCACCUUACUCUGACUGGUGGUGGGCGGGCCAUGGCGGCACCUUAAAGACACUACCCAUCUCAGGUGUCAUAUCGCUGUCUAAAGCUUAUGAUGCGACCCAACAAAAAAUUAUGCUUGUUUCGUAAGAUUCCAAGUGCAUAUACUAUUUGGGGUUUGAUGCCCUAUAGUGCGAUCAGUGUGCGUGAACCUAACGAAAAGGGGGCACAUCUAGGAUUGACCAGCUCCCUCCAAGAAUUAAAGAUUCUUAGGAGUCUUAAGAAUGAGGACAAGUCGACAGGUCCCUUAUGUCAGAGGCCACGGUUGAGCUACUAAAAGCGUAUAUCAAGCAAACGAAAUGUGGUUGAAAUGGCCACAGGAAGCAGGACUUGUAAGUAAUAAGAUCCUUAGGACGGUCUUAUGAAUUCUAUACAACCGGGAAGUGUACUAACCGCCCAUCACUCGGGGAGAGAUCCCUGAUAAGUUGUAACAAGGUAGGCGUACGGGAACGUGUGCCUG
rnacentral:rRNA from 1 species